rnacentral:rRNA from 1 species
AUUGAACGCUGGCGGCGUGCUUAACACAUGCAAGUCGAACGGAAAGGCCCAGCUUGCUGGGUACUCGAGUGGCGAACGGGUGAGUAACACGUGGGUGAUCUGCCCCUGACUUUGGGAUAAGCCUGGGAAACUGGGUCUAAUACCGGAUAUGACCUUUCCUCGCAUGGGGUUUGGUGGAAAGCUUUUGCGGUUGGGGGAUGGGCCCGCGGCCUAUCAGCUUGUUGGUGGGGUAAUGGCCUACCAAGGCGACGACGGGUAGCCGACCGGAGAGGGUGAUCGGCCACACUGGGACUGAGACACGGCCCAGACUCCUACGGGAGGCAGCAGUGGGGAAUAUUGCACAAUGGGCGCAAGCCUGAUGCAGCGACGCCGCGUGAGGGAUGACGGCCUUCGGGUUGUAAACCUCUUUCACCAGGGACGAAGCGUAAGUGACGGUACCUGGAGAAGAAGCACCGGCCAACUACGUGCCAGCAGCCGCGGUAAAAC